rnacentral:rRNA from 1 species
UACAGAGGGUGCGAGCGUUUAAUCGGAAUUACUGGGCGUAAAGCGCGCGUAGGCGGCUUUGCAAGUCGGGUGUGAAAUCCCCAGGCUUAACCUGGGAACUGCAUUCGAGACUGCAUUGCUAGAGUAUGGGAGAGGGAAGUGGAAUUUCCGGUGUAGCGGUGAAAUGCGUAGAUAUCGGAAGGAACAUCAGUGGCGAAAGCGACUUCCUGGACCAAUACUGACGCUCAUGUGCGAAAGCGUGGGGAGCAAACAGG